rnacentral:rRNA from 1 species
AUACGGAGGGGGCUAGCGUUGUUCGGAAUUACUGGGCGUAAAGCGCGCGUAGGCGGAUUGACAAGUUGGAGGUGAAAUCCCGGGGCUCAACCCCGGAACUGCCUUCAAAACUGUCAGUCUUGAGUUCGGAAGAGGUGAGUGGAAUUCCUAGUGUAGAGGUGAAAUUCGUAGAUAUUAGGAAGAACACCAGUGGCGAAGGCGGCUCACUGGCUCGAUACUGACGCUGAGGUGCGAAAGCGUGGGGAGCAAACAGGAUUAGAAACCCGGGUAGUCC